AAUAGACCGAGAACUGCUGGGUCUGGAUCCAGGUGGGUUCCGCAGAGGCCAGAGUAAGCUCGCGGGGAAACCAGUUCUGCGGGUCCAGCCGGCAGCCAGAGGAUCUUUCUAAAACAUAAAUCUGGUCACAUGCUCUCACCCUUUGAUGCCUCAUGCCCUGCUCUCAGGAUAAAGCUCCAGAUCCUGGACAUGGCCUUUCAAUCAGCUCUACUGUAAGUCUGUCCUGAUCAUGGAGAGCCCAGGUCUGGCACCACUAGGCAUUCAGCGAAUGUCUGCUGAACGACUCUGGGUGACUGAGAACUUCUGGGCCUGGUACACAACAGCAAUUACCAACCCACACACUCCCUGCCUGAAAAGGCUGAGGGCAGCCAUCUUUCUGCCUUCACUGGCCAGAAAUGGGGUGUCCCUAUGUUGCCCAGGCUGGCCCCAAACUCCUGAGCUCAAAGGAUCUUCCUGCCUCAGCCUCCUGAAGAGUUGGGACAAGAGACACAUGCCGCCAUGUGCUCAGACUGAGGUUCUGUAUUUCUGAAAUGCUUUUGGAUCUUGCCAUUAGCGCUGGUUGGAGGACCACACUUUGAAAAGUAAAGCUUUAGAAGUCAUUUGAUGAAUUCUCAUUGCACCUGAUUUAUAGAUGAAGAAAGAAGGAAGUCUGGAGAGAGACUCUAAACUCUUCUUGCAUUUAAGCCAGAGCUGCUGAGUCCAGCCCUCCCUCCACUGCAUCCCGAGGCCCCUUUACUGUCCGUGCCACCUCUGUCAUUGAGGAACUCAAAACUCCCAUUUCCCCAUUCCCACUGAUCUUUGCUCAAGGUGUCCCUUUGGUCACUCCCUUACUCAAAACCUUCCGUAAUGGCUCUUCUGUAACUAAUCACAAGUUAAGUUCAAAUGUCUCUGUCUGUUUUCCGUGACCCUGUGACAUGUGGUCGAUCCCUUUUAGCAAACUUACCUAACUUCCCUAUUUUUAUUUUAUUUUAUUUUUGGUACUGGGAAUCGAAACCAGGGGUGCUCUACCACUGAGCUAUCUCCCCAGACCUUUUAAUUUUUUGAGUCAGGGCCUCUCUCAGGUGCCCGGCUGGCCUGGAAUUUGGAAUCCUCCUGCCCUCACCUCCUGAGCUGCUGGGAUUACAGGCCAGCAGCCCUUGCCUGUUUCUUAACGGUAUGGCUCUGUGGUCGCUAUCCCUGCUUCUUCCUGUUUUCUAAAUAUAUUGUGUUCAUUCCCCGCUCAGCGGUAGAGACAAUGCCAAGGACUCUGGAGCCGGACAUACCUAGUUUCUAAUUCCAGAUCAGCCUCCAGCAGGGACAAGCUACUUCAUCUUUCUGAAGAUUAGCAUCCUCUUCUGAAAUAAUCCCCUAAGGGGAUUGAAAGGAAUAAAUGAA